rnacentral:rRNA from 1 species
CCCUUAGAUGUCCGGGGCUGCACGCGCGCUACACUGAAGGAAUCAGCGUGCUAGAAAACCUUGUUUGACAUGGCUAGGUAACCCGUUGAAAAUCUUUCGUGAUUGGGAUCGGGACUUGCAAAUGUGUCCCUUGAACGAGGAAUUCCCAGUAAGUGCGGGUCAUAAGCUCGCGCUGAUUACGUCCCUGCCCUUUGUACACACCGCCCGUCGCACCUACCGAUUGGAUGGUCCGGUGAAGCCUCGGGAUUGUGGUUCUUGCCGCUUUAUUGUGGCGUGACCGCGAGAACUUGUCUAAACCUUAUCAUCUAGAGGAAGGUGAAGUCGUAACA